GACGUAGGGCGCGAGCGUUUGUCCGGAUUUAUUGGGCGUAAAGAGCUCGUAGGCGGUUUGUCGCGUCGGGAGUGAAAACACUGGGCUUAACUCAGUGCUUGCUUCCGAUACGGGCAGACUAGAGGUAUUCAGGGGAGAACGGAAUUCCUGGUGUAGCGGUGAAAUGCGCAGAUAUCAGGAGGAACACCGGUGGCGAAGGCGGUUCUCUGGGCAGUAACUGACGCUGAGGAACGAAAAGCGUGGGUAGCGAACAGG
rnacentral:rRNA from 1 species